CUAACAGGGGUGUUCCUCUACCCCUGGCUGCUUCCCUAAUAAUAGGAAAGUUUCCUUCCUUCUUUUCUUAAACCUUUCCUCUUUCCUUCCUUUCUUUCCAGGGUUUGAACCCAAGGGCACUUUACUGAACUAUAUCCCAAACCUAUUACUUAUUUAUUUAUAUAUGAACAAGACCAAAUAAUCACUAAAUUGUUGAGAUUGGCCUCAAGCUUGCAAUCCUCCUGCCUCAGCCUCCCCAGCACUGGGAUUACAGCCCUGGCAGUGGUGUCUCUGGCAGCUGUGUGGCCCAUAGGGAACCUGAGGAAGAGAAAAGUCAAGCCAGCUUCCUGAGUCCCUGGGGUUACAGGCUUGAAGACUUUGCAUAUGCAAUCACUGACUGCCAUUAUUUUACAGAUGUAAGUAUUUUCUCUCUUUUGCAUUAGAAUGUGGCAGGGACAUUGAUUUGUUCACUGCUGGAUCUGUAGGACCCAAUAAAUAUGUGUUGAAUGAAGUCAAGACCAUUAGAUUUUGGCUAAACAUGAAAAGACAAACAGAUAAAAAGAUAUAGAGAAA